rnacentral:rRNA from 1 species
AUGAUGGUCGCCUCCGUCGUGCCCUCUCCCCUGGCACUCGCGAGGCCGGUCCGCACGCGUCUCCUUCCGCCCUGCGACCUGCCGGCCGGCCCCUCUCUGCAAUCGGCCAGCGGCUGCCGCGUCGCGCGCGGCGGUGCACGGCGCCCGCAGCACAUCUCGUUCGCAGCCGGAGGAGGCGCAGCGGGUGAUGCUUUUGUCGUAGAAGGCGCGACGAAUGUGAAGUUCUCUAGAGAGCUAACUGUUCCGGGCCACAAAGAGCCUCUGAUCAUCCUCGGCACAGGUUACAGAGACAAGUUCUUUGUCAAGGUAUACGCCGCAGCGUUCUAUGUGGAUAUCUCCAUCGGACUCGAUACCGAGCAAUGGAGAAAAAAGGUCGGCCUCGAGACUUUCGAUGCUUCCUCGGGUUUUGACUCCAUUUUUAAAGCACCGGUUGUGAAAUCUCUGAAUAUAACUCUAGUUAGAGACGUUGAUGGCAACACCUUUGUGAAGGCUUUGGAUGGCGUUAUUGCUCGCCGGAUUCAGAAACGUACCGAUGAGGAAGAAUCUUCACUGUCGGCCUUCCGGAACAGCUUUCUAGGGCGCAAUCUCCAAAAGGGAACAACCAUCUAUUUAACUUGGUUGGAACCCUCAAGAAUGCUGGUCUCGGUUUCGACGGACCAAGGUCCAUCCCAAGUCGACGCUGAGGUCAAAUCAGCUACUGUCAAUUAUGCUCUAUAUGAUGGCUUCUUCGGCAGCUCUCCCGUAUCCCCCACUUUGAGAUCUUCCACUGCUCAGCUGCUAGAAGCUAUCCUUACAAAGUGA